GCAAGUCGAGCGAGACGGUUAUGAAUGAUCCUUCGGGUGAAUGAUUAACUAGACAGCGGCGGACGGGUGAGUAACGCGUGGGUAACCUACCUUAUACUGGGGGAUAACGUUUUGAAAAGAACGCUAAUACCGCAUAAGCGCACAGCAUCACAUGAUGCAGUGUGAAAAACUCCGGUGGUAUAAGAUGGACCCGCGUCUGAUUAGCUAGUUGGUGAGAUAAAAGCUCACCAAGGCGACGAUCAGUAGCCGACCUGAGAGGGUGACC
rnacentral:rRNA from 1 species